rnacentral:rRNA from 1 species
CCUACGGGAGGCAGCAGUGGGGAAUAUUGCACAAUGGGCGAAAGCCUGAUGCAGCGACGCCGCGUGAGGGAUGACGGCCUUCGGGUUGUAAACCUCUUUCAGCAGGGAAGAAGCGAGAGUGACGGUACCUGCAGAAGAAGCGCCGGCUAACUACGUGCCAGCAGCCGCGGUAAUACGUAGGGCGCAAGCGUUGUCCGGAAUUAUUGGGCGUAAAGAGCUCGUAGGCGGCUUGUCACGUCGGGUGUGAAAGCCCGGGGCUUAACCCCGGGUCUGCAUUCGAUACGGGCUAGCUAGAGUGUGGUAGGGGAGAUCGGAAUUCCUGGUGUAGCGGUGAAAUGCGCAGAUAUCAGGAGGAACACCGGUGGCGAAGGCGGAUCUCUGGGCCAUUACUGACGCUGAGGAGCGAAAGCGUGGGGAGCGAACAGGAUUAGAUACCCUGGUAGUCCACGCCGUAAACGGUGGGAACUAGGUGUUGGCGACAUUCCACGUCGUCGGUGCCGCAGCUAACGCAUUAAGUUCCCCGCCUGGGGAGUCGGCCGCAGGCUAAACGUAAUGAAUUGAGCUUGAG